rnacentral:lncRNA from 10 species
GGGAGUAAAAAGUGAGAAUCUGCUACGGCCUCAGCUGAUUUUCCACAUAGGUUUGGAACUGCUUUAUGGGAAUAAUCUGUGUAAUCACUUUUAGUCAAACCAGAAGAGAGAGGAAAGAUAAGAAGUUAAGAAUCCAGUCAAGAGGGAUUUUCGCUGUGUUUCCCAAGUGGGCCUCGAACUCCUGGGCUCAAGUGAUACCCCCCACCUCAGCCUCGUGACUAGCUGGGAUUAAAGGUGUGCACCACUGCAACUGACUUUCAAUUCCUUUCUGACCAAAAUCUUUUAUUUCUAAAAAGAAAUCAAAGAAGUUAAAAUUCUAUAAAUGAUUAGUUACUGCUGUGCUUAAUUUAAAUGUUAUUUAUGAUUAUUUUUAUAGCUAAGAUCAUUGUUUCAUCUUUAGACAUCAAUGACCUCUUUAUAUAUUAAUGCUAUAAAAUGUUUCUUUGAUAAUUAUUUUUGAUAUUGCUUUUCCUAAAUAUAGGUUCCAAACACUUCAUAAUAAAAAUUUUAAGAUA